rnacentral:rRNA from 1 species
GAUAAGCGCCGGUAAGGUGAUAUGAACCGUUAUAACCGGCGAUACCCGAAUGGGGAAACCCAGUGUGACUCGUCACACUAUCAUUAACUGAAUCCAUAGGUUAAUGAGGCGAACCGGGGGAACUGAAACAUCUAAGUACCCCGAGGAAAAGAAAUCAACCGAGAUUCCCCCAGUAGCGGCGAGCGAACGGGGAGGAGCCCAGAGCCUGAAUCAGCAUGUGUGUUAGUGGAAGCGUCUGGAAAGGCGCGCGAUACAGGGUGACAGCCCCGUACACAAAAGCGCAUGUGCUGUGAGCUCGAUGAGUAGGGCGGGACACGUGGUAUCCUGUCUGAAUAUGGGGGGACCAUCCUCCAAGGCUAAAUACUCCUGACUGACCGAUAGUGAACCAGUACCGUGAGGGAAAGGCGAAAAGAACCCCGGCGAGGGGAGUGAAAAAGAACCUGAAACCGUGUACGUACAAGCAGUGGGAGCCCCACCACCAAAGCAUUUGCUGUACCGCGUUGACGGAGCGAAGCGACGUCAAACCGAUAAAACAGCAGUGUAAAGUGAGCCGCAGGGCGCUUUGCGCGACAGCGCAAAGGCAGGCGGUUUCGCGUAGCGAAAGCGAAUGCUUUGGGGUGGGGUGACUGCGUACCUUUUGUAUAAUGGGUCAGCGACUUAUAUUCUGUAGCAAGGUUAACCGAAUAGGGGAGCCGGAGGGAAACCGAGUCUUAAUUGGGCGUUAAGUUGCAGGGUAUAGACCCGAAACCCGGUGAUCUAGCCAUGGGCAGGUUGAAGGUUGGGUAACACUAACUGGAGGACCGAACCGACUAAUGUUGAAAAAUUAGCGGAUGACCUGUGGCUGGGGGUGAAAGGCCAAUCAAACCGGGAGAUAGCUGGUUCUCCCCGAAAGCUAUUUAGGUAGCGCCUCGUGAAUUCAUCUCCGGGGGUAGAGCACUGUUUCGGCUAGGGGGCCAUCCCGGCUUACCAACCCGAUGCAAACUGCGAAUACCGGAGAAUGUUAUCACGGGAGACACACGGCGGGUGCUAACGUCCGUCGUGAAGAGGGAAACAACCCAGACCGCCAGCUAAGGUCCCAAAGUCAUGGUUAAGUGGGAAACGAUGUGGGAAGGCCCAGACAGCCAGGAUGUUGGCUUAGAAGCAGCCAUCAUUUAAAGAAAGCGUAAUAGCUCACUGGUCGAGUCGGCCUGCGCGGAAGAUGUAACGGGGCUAAACCAUGCACCGAAGCUGCGGCAGCGACACUGUGUGUUGUUGGGUAGGGGAGCGUUCUGUAAGCCUGUGAAGGUGUGUCGUGAGGCAUGCUGGAGGUAUCAGAAGUGCGAAUGCUGACAUAAGUAACGAUAAAGCGGGUGAAAAGCCCGCUCGCCGGAAGACCAAGGGUUCCUGUCCAACGUUAAUCGGGGCAGGGUGAGUCGACCCCUAAGGCGAGGCCGAAAGGCGUAGUCGAUGGGAAACGGGUUAAUAUUCCCGUACUUGGUGUUACUGCGAAGGGGGGACGGAGAAGGCUAUGUUGGCCGGGCGACGGUUGUCCCGGUUUAAGCGUGUAGGUGUGUGUUCCAGGUAAAUCCGGUUCACUUUAACACUGAGGCGUGACGACGAGGCACUACGGUGCUGAAGCAACAAAUGCCCUGCUUCCAGGAAAAGCCUCUAAGCAUCAGGUAACAUCAAAUCGUACCCCAAACCGACACAGGUGGUCAGGUAGAGAAUACCAAGGCGCUUGAGAGAACUCGGGUGAAGGAACUAGGCAAAAUGGUGCCGUAACUUCGGGAGAAGGCACGCUGACACGUAGGUGAAGUGAUUUACUCAUGGAGCUGAAGUCAGUCGAAGAUACCAGCUGGCUGCAACUGUUUAUUAAAAACACAGCACUGUGCAAACACGAAAGUGGACGUAUACGGUGUGACGCCUGCCCGGUGCCGGAAGGUUAAUUGAUGGGGUCAGCGCAAGCGAAGCUCCUGAUCGAAGCCCCGGUAAACGGCGGCCGUAACUAUAACGGUCCUAAGGUAGCGAAAUUCCUUGUCGGGUAAGUUCCGACCUGCACGAAUGGCGUAAUGAUGGCCAGGCUGUCUCCACCCGAGACUCAGUGAAAUUGAACUCGCUGUGAAGAUGCAGUGUACCCGCGGCAAGACGGAAAGACCCCGUGAACCUUUACUAUAGCUUGACACUGAACAUUGAGCCUUGAUGUGUAGGAUAGGUGGGAGGCUUUGAAGUGUGGACGCCAGUCUGCAUGGAGCCGACCUUGAAAUACCACCCUUUAAUGUUUGAUGUUCUAACGUGGACCCGUUACCCGGGUUGCGGACAGUGUCUGGUGGGUAGUUUGACUGGGGCGGUCUCCUCCUAAAGAGUAACGGAGGAGCACGAAGGUUGGCUAAUCCUGGUCGGACAUCAGGAGGUUAGUGCAAUGGCAUAAGCCAGCUUGACUGCGAGCGUGACGGCGCGAGCAGGUGCGAAAGCAGGUCAUAGUGAUCCGGUGGUUCUGAAUGGAAGGGCCAUCGCUCAACGGAUAAAAGGUACUCCGGGGAUAACAGGCUGAUACCGCCCAAGAGUUCAUAUCGACGGCGGUGUUUGGCACCUCGAUGUCGGCUCAUCACAUCCUGGGGCUGAAGUAGGUCCCAAGGGUAUGGCUGUUCGCCAUUUAAAGUGGUACGCGAGCUGGGUUUAGAACGUCGUGAGACAGUUCGGUCCCUAUCUGCCGUGGGCGCUGGAGAACUGAGGGGGGCUGCUCCUAGUACGAGAGGACCGGAGUGGACGCAUCACUGGUGUUCGGGUUGUCAUGCCAAUGGCACUGCCCGGUAGCUAAAUGCGGAAGAGAUAAGUGCUGAAAGCAUCUAAGCACGAAACUUGCCCCGAG